ACUGAAUUAGCUCAGUUUGGAAAGCAUUAGACUAUACAUCGAAAGGUCCCUGUUUCGAUCCCGGGAUUCGGCA
rnacentral:tRNA from 1 species